UUUAAAUUGAGAGUUUGAUCCUGGCUCAGGACGAACGCUGGCGGCGUGCUUAACACAUGCAAGUCGAGCGAUGAAGCUUCCUUCGGGAAGUGGAUUAGCGGCGGACGGGUGAGUAACACGUGGGCAACCUGCCUCAAAGAGGGGAAUAGCCCUCCGAAAGGAGGAUUAAUACCGCAUAAAGUUAGAGUUUCGCAUGAAACUUUAACCAAAGGAGUAAUCUGCUUUGAGAUGGGCCCGCGUCCCAUUAGCUA
rnacentral:rRNA from 1 species